ensembl:lncRNA
GUUACAUUAAAGAUGCUUCCUUUACUUAUACACGCUUUUGUUAUUUUUUUUUAACAGAAAGCGACAAACAGAAGCCGCAGAAUCCAUUGGAAGGUCUGGACAGCGUGGAAGCCGAGGCAGUGGAAAUCUUCAUCUGAGUAACUGACGGAGUGCAGGAACUCUGCAGAGCCGUAGAAGAGAACCCGAGAUGUCCGGAGGAUCCGAAGCUAAGCUUUCCUCUCCUCUCACUCAUGGAGCGCUCUCUAAACUCGAGCCAAAAAAAAACCCAGACAAAGGGGAGUUUUGUGAACGUGAACUGUGUUUUGAGGAAAAUGAGGCAGUGUUGUGUUUCGAUUCAGAAAGAAUCACCGAAGAGCUGACGCAUACAGAGCGACCGGAGAUUGAAGUAAAUGAACGGGAACGCCUACACUUAUUUUUCAUACUUUAGCUGUUGCUGCGACUCAUAUAGCUUCAGGCUUCAGCCACACAACCUCGGGCAAAUUCUCAGCCCCUCCCCGUCGGCUCACUCAGGCGCCUCCUCUUAAAGUUAAAAACGUUUAACCAGUAGCUGUAAAAUAUCUUGCAGAUAUCAAGUUACACAGACACCGGGCACAUUUAUGAAUUUAUAAAAGAUUUCAUUCAUUUUAUUUAAGAAUGUUGUCUGUUUUUAGUCUCUGGACUGUUGUCCUCUCUUCUUCUUUUCUUUCAUUAAACGAAGGUCACUCUCUCACCAUUGAUCUCACCACAUUGGUAUCCUGUCGAAUGUUUUUUUCUGGAGGCUGAAACUGUUGUGGUUUUUACAGCUCCGCCUUCACUGCGCAUUCCUUUCAUUUUCUUUCUUUCGCGCUCCCUGAAGCAGAGACCUGGUGCGUAAUGACUUUUACAGAAAAAUUGUUGAAUUGUAAUCCCCUUCCCCACCUUCCCCGUUGUAUAAUGCAUCUGCUGGACAGUGUGUCGUACGCACAAUCACGCCGAGCUGUGCUUACUCCGUAUAUUUUGUUUACCGCGUCAUAACACAUGAUGUAAGAUUAAUAUAUUUGCUAUUUUAUAUUAGUAGAUCUAAUACUAAAAACCAUUCAUUCCAGCUUUCGUAUGUGAAAGAUGUGAACGUUCUGGAACAUUUCACACGUGUCAAAAUAAACAAAUAAAGGUGUUUAAUAUAUUUAA